rnacentral:rRNA from 1 species
GUCUUUUUGUAAUAUAUAUAUAUAUAUAUUUAUAUUUAAAGUCUAACCUGCCCACUGAUAAAUUUAAAGGGCCGCAGUAUUUUGACUGUGCAAAGGUAGCAUAAUCAUUAGUUUUUUAAUUGAAAGCUUGUAUGAAUGGUUGGAUGAAAUAUUUACUGUCUCAUAAAAAUUUAUUAUAGAAAUUAAUUUUUUUGUUAAAAAGCAAAAAUAUAUUUAAAGGACGAGAAGACCCUAUAGAUCUUUAUAAUUUUAUUAUAAAAUUUUUAAAGAUUAAUUUAAAUUUUAUAAAAAAAAUUAUUUUGUUGGGGUGACAAUAAAAUUAAAUAAACUUUUAUUAUUUAAUUACAUUAAUUAAUGAAUAUUUGAUCCAUUUAUAAUGAUUAAAAAAUUAAGAUACCUUAGGGAUAACAGCGUAAUUUUUUUAAAGAGUUCAUAUCGAUAAAAAAGAUUGCGACCUCGAUGUUGGAUUAAGAAUUAUUUUAGGUGUAGAAGUUUAAAAUCUAGGUCUGUUCGACCUUUAAAUUCUU